ACAACAUUUUUCUUUGAGUUAACAUGAGUUCUAUGGUGAUUAGAGUGCAGGGACCGAGAAUUUAGGUGCUGGAGUCGAAAAAAGUCAAACUCUGGAACAGCUAAACAAGGCUUGCCCAAGGCUUGUGUCAGGCCUAUAAGAUACAGUUGUGUGCCUAGGAGAAAUGGUAGUGUGACAUACCUUGUCUAUAAGGCACGAACGUGUGUUAACAUUAAAGCAUUUUUGUGAGGAAAACACGGUCGUGUGCCCACCCAACACGGUUGUGUCGUAUCUACAAUAAGGAAAAUAAUGAAAUGCCAAGAAAAACAUGGUCGUGUGCGUGUCUAAAAUAGUUGUGUGUCAUUCCCCACAUAAGCCUUGCCUGGUAGGGAUAUAAGCCUUGCCCAAGGCUUAUAUCCCUGCCAACACAUUUGGUGGUUCUCAAAAUGUGAUGUUUCCCGGUACACCCCACCUCUAAGUUUAGUAACAAGAGGAGUUAAUCUAUCACUUCAUUUUUAUUUUCAUUAUUUGCAUCACAUUGGGAAAAAUGUGUAGUUUAAGUGUGGGAGAGAGGCAUUCUGGAUCUUAAGUAGAUAAUUUUCUUUUUUGGCAUAUUAUCCUA
rnacentral:lncRNA from 1 species